GACGAACGCUGGCGGCGUGCUUAACACAUGCAAGUCGAACGGAAAGGCCCCUUUGGGGGUACUCGAGUGGCGAACGGGUGAGUAACACGUGAGUAACCUGCCCUUGACUUCGGGAUAACUUCAGGAAACUGGGGCUAAUACCGGAUAGGAAUCCUUGCUGCAUGGUGGGGGUUGGAAAGCUUCGGCGGUUUUGGAUGGACUCGCGGCUUAUCAGCUUGUUGGUGGGGUAGUGGCUUACCAAGGCUUUGACGGGUAGCCGGCCUGAGAGGGCGACCGGCCACAUUGGGAAUGAGAUACGGCCCAGACUCCUACGGGAGGCAGCAGUGGGGAAUAUUGCACAAUGGGCGGAAGCCUGAUGCAGCAACGCCGCGGGCGGGAUGACGGCCUUCGGGUUGUAAACCGCUUUCAGCAGGGGCGAAGCUGGUGGUGACGGUACCUGCAGAAGAAGCACCGGCUAACUACGUG
rnacentral:rRNA from 1 species